rnacentral:rRNA from 1 species
UACAGAGGUCUCAAGCGUUGUUCGGAUUCAUUGGGCGUAAAGGGUGCGUAGGUGGGUUGGGAAGUCAGUGGUGAAAUACUUUCGCUUAACGAAGGAACUGCCAUUGAUACUAUCAAUCUUGAAUGUAGUGGAGGUAGGCGGAAUGCGUCAUGUAGCGGUGAAAUGCUUAGAUAUGACGCAGAACACCAAUUGCGAAGGCAGCUUGCUACACUACUAUUGACACUGAGGCACGAAAGCGUGGGGAUCAAACAGG